AUUUGUAGAUCUAGAAUGACUUUUCACCUGCCAGGCAAAUAGAUUGAAAAACUUUCAAUCUGGCAUUCUUUCUUUGAGGUUGAUCCAUAUGUCAAGUCAAUGAACUUAAAAAAAAUGGUCAUUAUUUGCUGAUUGGGAAAAGAUAUUUGGCAAGGAUAGAGCUACUGGAGAGUUUGCCAAGGGCCAGAAGAUAUUGUUGAAGAAAUAGAAAGAAUUGAAGCUCAAGAAAUUACUAAUGGCACAUUUGUGGGAUUUUCUAUUGAUGUUGUCGACGUAGAUGAUGUUUCAAGCACAAGAGAUCAAGUUGCUUAAGAGGAACCUAAUGUAUCAACUGGAGCAACACAAAGUCCAUUUACUGCUCAAGAUGAACCUAAUGAAUCAACUGGAGCAGCACAAAGUGCAUUCACAAUUCAAAAAGGUGAAACCCAUCAAUCUCAGAAUAGUUUUAAAGCAUUGUCUUCUAAAGUCAACAAAAAAGGUAGAUGCAAAAAAAAAAAAAACAACUGAAGAUGAUAAUGAGAUUGUUAUUAAAGGUUUGAUGGAGGUGAUGAAACAAUUCACUGAAAGCCAUGAUAAGAGGAUGGAUUCUUUAAUUGACAAGCUAGGAGAGCGUGAUCUAUCUGAUAUUUGUGGCAAGAUAUUUUCUAUUAUUGGAUCCCCUGCAUUUGAAAUAUACAACUCAGAUAAACAAGUCAAGGCAGCAAUGGAAAUUACUUAAGAUAUAAAGAGGAUGGAAUUUUUCUUAAGCAUCAGUGAACUUACGUCACAGUAUGAUAUGGAUGAUAUGGAUGAUUAUUAAUGAUAAGAUUUAAAUCACUGAAUGAUUUUUGUGUAACUAUUUUGUAAGGUCUAACCAUAAUGGAUUUUUUUGUUACCUAGUACAAUGUCACAAAUGUACAUAUAAGUGAAUGUUGUGGGAUUAAAGUAGGUUAUUUUUGUAUAACAAAUGCAUGAUUAGGUUCAACAUUAAUGUUUUGUAAGUAGCCAGCUCAGAUGCUCUUCAGAUUGCUCAAAAUGCUGACCCAAAACUAUUCAGCAGUUGGAGUAAUCACAAAGAUCCAGUCAGAAAUACAAAGUACUCAGAUGUUAUUUUGUCAACUGAUUAUAUGUUGUUGGGGAUGAUAUUCAACUUUUGAAGCUUGGUGUUUGUCAUGGAAGGAUAAUUUUACAAAAAUGGGAGACUUUUUUUGAAAAAAAAAUAUAAUUGUAUGUCUUUAUUGUAUGUGCCAGCUUUUGUAAUUCAACAAUGAAUU